rnacentral:misc_RNA from 1 species
ACAGCAGCACAAAGAUUCCCAGACAGUGACUUCAUUGCCAAGGAAAUAAAGAUCCCAAUUCCUGGUUCCCACUCGUACAACCUCAACCUCUUCAGAUUGGUAUUUAGGACUAUUUUUGUGAUCAUUACCACUGUAAUUUCCAUGCUGCUUCCCUUCUUUAACGACGUAGUUGGACUCCUUGGAGCUUUAGGAUUUUGGCCAUUAACUGUGUAUUUCCCAGUCGAGAUGUACAUAGCACAAAAGAAGAUACC